UACGGAGGGUGCAAGCGUUGUCCGGAAUCACUGGGCGUAAAGGGCGCGUAGGCGGCUCAUGAAGGCUGUGGUGAAAGUCCGGGGCUCAACCUCGGAUCGGCCGUGGCGACUCGUGGGCUGGAGCACUGUAGAGGCGGGUGGAAUUCCGGGUGUAGCGGUGGAAUGCGUAGAGAUCCGGAAGAACACCGGUGGCGAAGGCGGCCCGCUGGGCAACUGCUGACACUGAUGCGCGACAGCAUGGGGAGCAAACAGG
rnacentral:rRNA from 1 species